rnacentral:tmRNA from 1 species
GGGGGUGUAUUGGUUUCGACUGGUACGGUUCGGGGUGCAGGUUGCAGGUGGAGUGCUGAUCUCCUAAUAUUCAGCGCCAAUAUAAUUGCCGAUUACGACAAUUACGCUCUUGCUGCGUAAGCAGCGGAACACGAAAACCGGUCCCGCCGCCUUGAGGGAACGGAUUUUCGACGCAAUCAAGGCUGGUUCCAGGUUGAUUUCAGACAAUCUGGGAUAAGAAUCUUCUGAAAUACGGAUGCGCCGCACGCCGCGUAGCCAAGUUCAUCCAGAAAAUUAAUACGCGGCUAAACCUGUAGAGAUUUGUAUGUCGCGUAUUAGGACGCGGGUUCGAUUCCCGCCACCUCCAA